UCCCUCUCAGGGCCGCACCUGGAGAGUUUUCAGUACUCUAAACGGUCUCGGGGACGGGAGGGAGAGUCAAGUAGAGGCCUAAUCAUUCCAUUCCUAGCUUGGCCAGGGGCUAGCGAGUGGAAGGCAAUCUGCUACAAGU
rfam:Ornithorhynchus anatinus chromosome 6, whole genome shotgun sequence.